rnacentral:rRNA from 1 species
GAUGAACGCUGGCGGCGUGCCUAAUACAUGCAAGUCGAGCGAACGGACGAGAAGCUUGCUUCUCUGAUGUUAGCGGCGGACGGGUGAGUAACACGUGGAUAACCUACCUAUAAGACUGGGAUAACUUCGGGAAACCGGAGCUAAUACCGUAUAAUAUUUUGAACCGCAUGGUUCAAAAGUGAAAGACGGUCUUGCUGUCACUUAUAGAUGUAUCCGCGCUGCAUGAGCUAGUUGGUAAGGUAACGGCUUACCAAGGCAACGAUGCAUAGCCGACCUGAGAGGGUGAGCGGCGACACGGGAACGGAGAAACAGACAAGACUGCUAAGGGAGGAAGCAGUAGGGAAUCUGACGCAAUGGGCGAAAGCCGGACGGGGCAACGCCGCGUGAGUGAUGAAGGUCUUAGGAUCGUAAAACUCUGUUAUUAGGGAAGAACAUAUGUGUAAGUAACUGUGCACAUCUUGACGGUACCUAAUCAGAAAGCCACGGCUAACUACGUG